GAGUUUGAUCAUGGCCUCAGAUUGAACGCUGGCGGCAUGCCUUACACAUGCAAGUCGAACGGCAGCACGGGAGCUUGCUCCUGGUGGCGAGUGGCGAACGGGUGAGUAAUGCAUCGGAACGUAUCCUGGAGUGGGGGAUAACGUAGCGAAAGUUACGCUAAUACCGCAUAUUCUGUGAGCAGGAAAGCGGGGGACCUUCGGGCCUCGCGCUCUUGGAGCGGCCGAUGUCGGAUUAGCUAGUUGGUGAGGUAAAGGCUCACCAAGGCGACGAUCCGUAGCAGGUCUGAGAGGAUGAUCUGCCACACUGGAACUGAGACAGGUCCAGACUCCUACGGGAGGCAGCAGUGGGGAAUUUUGGACAAUGGGGGCAACCCUGAUCCAGCCAUGCCGCGUGAGUGAAGAAGGCCUCGGUUGUAAG
rnacentral:rRNA from 1 species